UGGGGGAGUCAGAACUGAAGAAUUUGGAAGUGCUCAAAUUUUUAAAUAACCAGAUCGAGGAGCUGCCAACACAGAUCAGCAGGCUUCAAAAACUCAAACACCUGAACCUUGGCCACCCUGUGUGCACUCUAUCUAAGUGACAACGGUUUUGAAAUCCUGCCACCAGAUAUUGGGAAGCUCACAAAGUUGCAGAUAGUAACUCAGCAAUAGGGAUAAAGACCUGAUCUCACUGCUUAAGGAAAUUGGGGAGCUUACCCAGCUUAAAGAGCUCCACAUUCAGAGGAACCGCCUCACUGUUCUACGCCCAGAACUAGGAGAAAAAAAGAACGAUAGAGAAGUCCAGAUAAAGUGCAGGAAUCUGACACCCUCUUGUGCUGAACAAUGGGUCAACCAUACCAAGUCAGUCAAGUCGAAAGCUGUCGGGGGAGGUGUUUGUCUUCUGAGAGAAUCCUCCCCAUGAAAUCUCCCACAAUGCCUGUCACUGGUACCUAAAAUUACACCAUUAGAGAUUCAGUCUUCUGGUUCUGGAGGCAUUUUAAUCCCUGGGGGUCCUAUUAAAAUGCAAAAACUCCGAGAAGAAUAAUAGCAUUGAAAGCUAUUAUUAACUGACAGCAAGGAGGCCCUUGGGAAUUGGACACGGGAUAGAGCCUGAGGAACAACUCCAGGAAAUUGGGGUACAAGCAGAGGGAAGGUAAGAUGGCAGCAAAAAUAAACUUUAU
rnacentral:lncRNA from 1 species